rnacentral:rRNA from 1 species
GAUGAACGCUGGCGGCGUGCUUAACACAUGCAAGUCGAACGAAGCAUUUAGAACAGAUUACUUCGGUUUGCAGUUCUUUAUGACUGAGUGGCGGACGGGUGAGUAACGCGUGGGUAACCUGCCUUGUACUGGGGGAUAGCAGCUGGAAACGGCUGGCAAUACCGCAUAAGCGCACAAUGUUGCAUGACAUGGUGUGAAAAACUCCGGUGGUAUAAGAUGGACCCGCGUCUGAUUAGCUAGUUGGUGAGAUAACAGCCCACCAAGGCGACGAUCAGUAGCCGACCUGAGAGGGUGACCGGCCACAUUGGGACUGAGACACGGCCCAGACUCCUACGGGAAGCAGCAGUAGGGAAUAUUGCACAAUGGAGGAAACUCUGAUGCAGCGACGCCGCGUGAGUGAAGAAGUAAUUCGUUAUGUAAAGCUCUAUCAGCAGGGAAGAUAGUGACGGUACCUGACGAAGAAGCUCCGGCUAAAUACGUG